UGUUGAUAUAACUGACCAUGGCACAUGGCAGUUAAUCGUUUCUCUUCAAUCAAAUUCAGUUGGUCAUAACGACUCUGAAUCCAUUCAGCAUCAGUCAACUAGGGACUUGAGGGUAUAAUUUUUCCUUUUUCUUUUGAAAAAAUUUUGAAAUUUUUUUCCUGAUUUUUGAUUUUUUCAUCUUUUUCUCCCUCUUUUUUUUUUUACAUUACAUU
rnacentral:lncRNA from 1 species